GGUGUAUACCGACAUUUUGAGGUUACCAUUUCGUUCUGUAAAAAAAUA
rnacentral:rRNA from 1 species